CUUUUUCAAAAUGUGGCGGUGGCAGGGAAGGUUGUCUGCUCCAGAGGCUUCCCUAGAGUGAAGAGCUCUACUAUGUAUGCUUUAUGCGGCAGAAGGAGUGCUUUGGAGGAGUUUUUAAAUUUGUUUUUUUUUUAAAUCUUAUCGGUUUUAAUUGUAGCAAUGAUUCAAGAAACGUUAGUAGGUGCCCAUAACUUCGGUGGUGGAGAUCCAAAAGUGAACAAGACAGUGUUCUGGCUGCUAAAUUCUUCUUAACUGGUUAUGCCUGGAGACCUUCACUUGGUUCUGUGCCAGCACUGCCCAUGAACUUCAUAGACUGUGAUCUUUGCUAAGGCCUAAAUGAAUGAAGUGCAGGUGCAGGACCGGAAGCAGAAGACAGAAAGUGGAGACCAGAUGUUUGAAGCUGGGUAAAGGCAGGGAUGGAGCAGGAACCGAGGAACAAACCUUGGAACUAGAUACAUGAAUGGUCCAUUUAAGAAUUAAUAAUCUCCUCUGGACUCCCAGUACAUUUGGCCUGUAUUUCUCUUGGGAUGUGUUAGCUCCAGGCAUGAUGUAAUGUUAACACAGAGCGUCUAUGGAAGGAUCAGAUGAAUGGCACAGACCUAGAUGAUUUUGGCGGGCAGAAUCUGUAGUAAUUAGCACCUCUUAAGGUAAGUUUCCUGAGGCCUUCCCAGAAGUAGAAGCCUGCACAGUCCACAGAACU
rnacentral:lncRNA from 10 species